rnacentral:rRNA from 1 species
CCUACGGUGGCUGCAGUGGGGAAUAUUGCACAAUGGGCGCAAGCCUGAUGCAGCCAUGCCGCGUGUGUGAUGAAGGCCUUCGGGUUGUAAAGCACUUUCAGCGGGGAGGAAGGCGGUGAGGUUAAUAACCUCAUCGAUUGACGUUACCCGCAGAAGAAGCACCGGCUAACUCCGUGCCAGCAGCCGCGGUAAUACGGAGGGUGCAAGCGUUAAUCGGAAUUACUGGGCGUAAAGCGCACGCAGGCGGUCUGUCAAGUCGGAUGUGAAAUCCCCGGGCUCAACCUGGGAACUGCAUUCGAAACUGGCAGGCUAGAGUCUUGUAGAGGGGGGUAGAAUUCCAGGUGUAGCGGUGAAAUGCGUAGAGAUCUGGAGGAAUACCGGUGGCGAAGGCGGCCCCCUGGACAAAGACUGACGCUCAGGUGCGAAAGCGUGGGGAGCAAACAGGAUUAGAUACCCCAGUAGUC